GGGGUAAUUAGUUCGACAACAAGGUCGGGCGAACGAACGCCGUAGAUCGACACGACUAGUCGCCGCGUAGUAUAGAAGACGUCGUACGGUUGUAAAGUACUUUCAGCAGUGAGGAAGGUGGGUAUGUUAAUAGCAUACUCAUUUGACGUUAGCUGCAGAAGAAGCACCGGCUAACUCCGUGCCAGCAGCCGCGGUAAUACGGAGGGUGCGAGCGUUAAUCGGAAUUACUGGGCGUAAAGCGCAUGCAGGUGGUUUGUUAAGUCAGAUGUGAAAGACCCGGGGCUCAACCUCGGAAUUGCAUUUGAAACUGGCAAACUAGAGUACUGUAGAGGGGGGUAGGAAUUUCAGGUGUAGCGGUGAAAAUGCGUAGAGAUCUGAAGGAAUACCGGUGGCGAAGGCGGCCCCCUGGACAGAUACUGACACUCAGAUGCGAAAGCGUGGGGAGCAAACAGGAUUAGAUACCCUGGUAG
rnacentral:rRNA from 1 species